ACUAAGUAGACUACUAUGAGUACAUUGGUACCAGGACUCCAGUGAGCAAGCUCAGGGGCGAUCCUAGGAUUCAGUUAAUGGUGGUGCUCAUUGCGCGUGAAGCGCGCCGCAAAAUUUAGACCACCCCCACUUCCGGGAUGACGCCCCUUUUGUCGGCAACGCCCACUGUUUUCUAGAUGGUGCACAGCCACAGUACUGACAGUAUUUUACAGUGCCAUCAGCAAGUCAAGAAUGUUUACGACCAGAAGCUCAAUUCGCCUGGGAUGGCAAACUCUAGCCAACUCUUCUUAAGGCCACUAAAAGAUUGAUCAGCUUACCAGGAGAUGACAGGCAGCGUACAAAGUAUGACCACCAGUACCUUGAUGUUGAGGAAAAGAGACUUUGUAGUUUACAUUGCAAACAUUGAUUAUUAUUAAUUAAUUUUAUUGUACAUACAUGUAGGCUUAAUUAUAUAAUUAUACUAUACAUUCAUGUACCUCAUG